rnacentral:rRNA from 1 species
AAUGAACGCUGGCGGCAUGCCUAACACAUGCAAGUCGAACGAGAUCGUGACUUCGGUUGCGGUCUAGUGGCGCACGGGUGCGUAACGCGUGGGAAUCUGCCCUUGGGUUCGGAAUAACAGUGAGAAAUUGCUGCUAAUACCGGAUAAUGACGUAAGUCCAAAGAUUUAUCGCCCAGGGAUGAGCCCGCGUAAGAUUAGCUAGUUGGUGGGGUAAAGGCCUACCAAGGCGACGAUCUUUAGCUGGUCUGAGAGGAUGAUCAGCCACACUGGGACUGAGACACGGCCCAGACUCCUACGGGAGGCAGCAGUGGGGAAUAUUGGACAAUGGCGUAAGCCUGAUCCAGCCAUGCCGCGUGC